GGUCCUCGCCGCGCGCAGUGCUCGGGCCGGAGCUCGAGGCGCUGCUUACCGUCGCCAGAGCUAGGAGACGCCGCGGCCGCCGCUCGGUCGCCUCGGGCUUCGCGUCGCGCCGUGUCCGCCUCCUCUGCCCCACCCGAUCGGCAGCGUAGGCUCUACCUGGCCCGCGGCCUCGCUGUCCGCGGCGGGGCAGGCGUUGUUGCUGCGGUGAACCCCUGCCCUGCCCUCCGGUAGCUGGCUGCUGGCUCCUGGCCCUGAGUUCUUGGUGAAGCUGGGAAGGGGAUGAGAAUAGGGAACUGAAGGACGGGGAGAGGUGUUCCUUGCUGGGUCCACUGUAAAGCUGUGCAUGUUGACUGAACUUGGAAUGGAAGCCUGCCUCUAAGGGGACUUCCUCCCGGUCUGUGGGAUGGAGGCCUUGGUUCUGUCAG